rnacentral:rRNA from 1 species
CAGUAGCCGCGGUAAUACGAAGGGUGCAAGCGUUACUUGGAAUUACUGGGCGUAAAGCGUGCGUAGGUGGUGGUUUAAGUCCGUUGUGAAAGCCCUGGGCUCAACCUGGGAAUUGCAGUGGAUACUGGGUCACUAGAGUGUGGUAGAGGAUAGUGGAAUUUCCGGUGUAGCAGUGAAAUGCGUAGAGAUCGGAAGGAACAUCUGUGGCGAAGGCGACUAUCUGGGCCAACACUGACACUGAGGCACGAAAGCGUGGGGAGCAAACAGGAUUAGAUACCCCCGUAGUCCCUGUCUCUUAUAC